AUUGAACGCUGGCGGCAGGCCUAACACAUGCAAGUCGAGCGGAUGAAAGGAGCUUGCUCCUGGAUUCAGCGGCGGACGGGUGAGUAAUGCCUAGGAAUCUGCCUGGUAGUGGGGGACAACGUUUCGAAAGGAACGCUAAUACCGCAUACGUCCUACGGGAGAAAGCAGGGGACCUUCGGGCCUUGCGCUAUCAGAUGAGCCUAGGUCGGAUUAGCUAGUUGGUGAGGUAAUGGCUCACCAAGGCGACGAUCCGUAACUGGUCUGAGAGGAUGAUCAGUCACACUGGAACUGAGACACGGUCCAGACUCCUACGGGAGGCAGCAGUGGGGAAUAUUGGACAAUGGGCGAAAGCCUGAUCCAGCCAUGCCGCGUGUGUGAAGAAGGUCUUCGGAUUGUAAAGCACUUUAAGUUGGGAGGAAGGGUUGUAGAUUAAUACUCUGCAAUUUUGACGUUACCGACAGAAUAAGCACCGGCUAA
rnacentral:rRNA from 1 species